GUAACGGCGAGUGAAGCGGCAAGAGCUCAAAUUUGAAAGCUGGCUCCUUCGGGGUCCGCAUUGUAAUUUGUAGAGGAUGCUUCGGGAGCGGUCCCCAUCUAAGUGCCCUGGAACGGGACGUCAUAGAGGGUGAGAAUCCCGUAUGGGAUGGGGUGUCCGCGCCCGUGUGAAGCUCCUUCGACGAGUCGAGUUGUUUGGGAAUGCAGCUCUAAAUGGGUGGUAAAUUUCAUCUAAAGCUAAAUAUUGGCCGGAGACCGAUAGCGCACAAGUAGAGUGAUCGAAAGAUGAAAAGCACUUUGAAAAGAGAGUUAAAAAGCACGUGAAAUUGUUGAAAGGGAAGCGCUUGCGACCAGACUCGCUCGCGGGGUUCAGCCGGCAUUCGUGCCGGUGUACUUCCCCGCGGGCGGGCCAGCGUCGGUUUGGGCGGUCGGUCAAAGGCCCUCGGAAGGUAACGCCCCUAGGGGCGUCUUAUAGCCGAGGGUGCAAUGCGACCUGCCUAGACCGAGGAACGCGCUUCGGCUCGGACGCUGGCAUAAUGGUCGUAAACGACCCGUCUUGAACCACGGAC
rnacentral:ncRNA from 2 species